UCCCUUAGAUGUUCUGGGCCGCACGCGCGCUACACUGACAGAGCCAGCGAGUUUUUUACCUUGGCCGGAAGGUCUGGGAAAUCUUGUGAAACUCUGUCGUGCUGGGGAUAGAGCAUUGCAAUUAUUGCUCUUCAACGAGGAAUUCCUAGUAAGCGUGAGUCAUCAGCUCGCGUUGAUUACGUCCCUGCCCUUUGUACACACCGCCCGUCGCUACUACCAAUUGAACGGCUUAGUGAGGUCUUGGGAUUGGCGUUGGGGAGCCGGCAACGGCACCCCGCUGCUGAGAACUUGAUCAAACUUGGUCGUUUAGAGGAAGUAAAAGUCGUAACA
rnacentral:rRNA from 1 species